rnacentral:rRNA from 1 species
CAUGGCUCAGGAUGAACGCUAGCUACAGGCUUAACACAUGCAAGUCGAGGGGCAGCAUAACGAAGCUUGCUUUGUGAUGGCGACCGGCGCACGGGUGAGUAACGCGUAUCCAACCUUCCCGCGAGUAGGGAACAGCCCGGCGAAAGUCGGAUUAAUGCCCUAUGUUCUCCGAUGACGGCAUCAGAGUUGGAGUAAAGAUUUAUCGCUUGCGGAUGGGGAUGCGUCUGAUUAGCUUGUUGGCGGGGUAACGGCCCACCAAGGCGACGAUCAGUAGGGGUUCUGAGAGGAAGGUCCCCCACAUUGGAACUGAGACACGGUCCAAACUCCUACGGGAGGCAGCAGUGAGGAAUAUUGGUCAAUGGGCGGAAGCCUGAACCAGCCCAAGUAGCGUGAGGGAUGACUGCCCUAUGGGUUGUAAACCUCUUCUGUUCGGGAAUAAAGUUCGGGACGUGUCCCGUUUUGUAUGUACCGUUCGAAUAAGGACCGGCUAAUUCCGUGCCAGCCGCCGC